rnacentral:rRNA from 1 species
UAGCGGCGGACGGGUGAGUAAUGCUUAGGAAUCUGCCUAUUAGUGGGGGACAACGUUCCGAAAGGGACGCUAAUACCGCAUACGUCCUACGGGAGAAAGCAGGGGAUCUUCGGACCUUGCGCUAAUAGAUGAGCCUAAGUCGGAUUAGCUAGUUGGUGGGGUAAAGGCCUACCAAGGCGACGAUCUGUAGCGGGUCUGAGAGGAUGAUCCGCCACACUGGGACUGAGACACGGCCCAGACUCCUACGGGAGGCAGCAGUGGGGAAUAUUGGACAAUGGGGGCAACCCUGAUCCAGCCAUGCCGCGUGUGUUGAAGAAGGCCUUUUGGUUGUAAAGCACUUUAAGCGAGGAGGAGGCUUACCUGGUUAAUACCCGGGAUAAGUGGACGUUACUCGCAGAAUAAGCACCGGCUAACUCUGUGCCAGCAGCAGC